AUAUAUAUAUAUAUAUAUAUAUUCUGUAAAUCACAUUAUUUUAAAUUUACUUAGCAAAACCACUAAACAUGUUUUUCCCUAUCAAAAUUAUUUCGACCUAUUUUAUUAUUUAACGUUUUAAUAUACUUUCAUAUUAUUUAACUAUAUUAAUAUAUUCAAUAAUUAAUAUUAUUUUAUUAAUUACAUAAUUAUUCAAUACCACAAAUAUAUAUUGUCGCCAAU
rnacentral:lncRNA from 1 species